AACGUAGGAGACAAACGUUAUCCGGAGUUACUGGGCGUAAAGGGCGUGUAGGCGGUUGGUUAAGUCUGGCGUGAAAGCUCUCGGCUAAACCGGGAGGGGUCGUUGGAUACUGGCCGACUAGAGGACGGUAGAGGCGUGUGGAAUUCCGGGUGUAGUGGUGAAAUGCGUAGAGAUCCGGAGGAACACCAGUGGCGAAGGCGACACGCUGGGCCGUACCUGACGCUAAAGCGCGACAGCAUGGGGAGCAAACGGG
rnacentral:rRNA from 1 species